GACGAACGCUGGCGGCGUGCUUAACACAUGCAAGUCGAACGGAAAGGCCCGCUUGCGGGUACUCGAGUGGCGAACGGGUGAGUAACACGUGGGCAACCUGCCCUCAGCUCUGGGAUAACCCCCGGAAACGGGAGCUAAUACCGGAUACCGAUCGAACGCCGCAUGGCGAUCGAUCCAAAGUUUUUUCGGCUGAGGAUGGGCCCGCGGCCUAUCAGCUUGUUGGUGGGGUGAUGGCCUACCAAGGCGACGACGGGUAGCCGGCCUGAGAGGGCGACCGGCCACACUGGAACUGAGACACGGUCCAGACUCCUACGGGAGGCAGCAGUGGGGAAUAUUGCGCAAUGGGCGAAAGCCUGACGCAGCGACGCCGCGUGAGGGAUGACGGCCUUCGGGUUGUAAACCUCUUUCGACAGGGACGAAUCAAGACGGUACCUGUAUAAGAAGCACCGGCUAACUACGUGCCAGCAGCCGCAGUAAAAC
rnacentral:rRNA from 1 species